UACGAAGGGUGCAAGCGUUACUCGGAAUUACUGGGCGUAAAGCGUGCGUAGGUGGUUCGUUAAGUCUGAUGUGAAAGCCCUGGGCUCAACCUGGGAAUGGCAUUGGAAACUGGCGACCUAGAGUGCGGUAGAGGGUAGUGGAAUUCCCGGCGUAGCAGUGAAAUGCGUAGAGAUCGGGAGGAACAUCCGUGGCGAAGGCGACUACCUGGACCAGCACUGACACUGAGGCACGAAAGCGUGGGGAGCAAACAGG
rnacentral:rRNA from 1 species